rnacentral:rRNA from 1 species
UACGUAGGGUGCGAGCGUUGUCCGGAAUUAUUGGGCGUAAAGCGCGCGUAGGCGGUUACUCAAGUCGGAUGUGAAAGCCCUCGGCUUAACUGAGGAAGUGCACCCGAAACUGAGUAGCUAGAGUACUAAAGAGGGUCGCGGAAUUCCCGGUGUAGAGGUGAAAUUCGUAGAUAUCGGGAGGAACACCGGUGGCGAAGGCGGCGACCUGGGUAGAUACUGGACGCGUGAGACGGCGAAAAGCGGUGGGAGCGAACAGG